GAGUUUGAUCAUGGCUCAGAUUGAACGCUGGCGGCAGGCCUAACACAUGCAAGUCGAGCGGUAGAGAGAAGCUUGCUUCUCUUGAGAGCGGCGGACGGGUGAGUAAUGCCUAGGAAUCUGCCUGGUAGUGGGGGAUAACGCUCGGAAACGGACGCUAAUACCGCAUACGUCCUACGGGAGAAAGCAGGGGACCUUCGGGCCUUGCGCUAUCAGAUGAGCCUAGGUCGGAUUAGCUAGUUGGUGAGGUAAUGGCUCACCAAGGCGACGAUCCGUAACUGGUCUGAGAGGAUGAUCAGUCACACUGGAACUGAGACACGGUCCAGACUCCUACGGGAGGCAGCAGUGGGGAAUAUUGGACAAUGGGCGAAAGCCUGAUCCAGCCAUGCCGCGUGUGUGAAGAAGGUCUUCGGAUUGUAAAGCACUUUAAGUUGGGAGGAAGGGCAGUAAAUUAAUACUUUGCUGUUUUGACGUUACCGACAGAAUAAGCACCGGCUAACUCUGUGCCAGCC
rnacentral:rRNA from 1 species